rnacentral:rRNA from 1 species
GUGCACCAGGCGAGAAUCUUCCACAAUGGACGAAAGUCUGAUGGAGCGACGCCGCGUGCGGGAUGAAGGCCUUAUGGGUUGUAAACCGCUGUCAGGGGGAAGAACAUCGGAAUGAACAAUACUCAUUCCGACUGACGUUACCCCCAGAGGAAGCUCCGGCCAACUCCGUGCCAGCAGCCGCGGUAAUACGGGGGAGCAAGCGUUGUCCGGAAUUAUUGGGCGUAAAGGGCGUGUAGGCGGCGAGGUAAGUCGAAUGUGAAAUCUCACGGGCUCAACCGUGAAACUGCGUUCGAAACUACCC